UUUCUAUACAGUGAACAUGUUUCAUUCAGAAAAUUUGAUUUUUAUGGUCCGUAUAACAAAUCGAAAAAUAACUAUUUUGAAGAGCAGUUUAAGCUUGGUGCUGUUGAAGUAUUUGCUAAGAAGUUAAUAUAGAUGAAUUUGUUUGAUAAAUGACUUGAUUAUAAUAUUAUGGAUCAAGUUGUGAGUGUGUUAGGUGAUUUAAGGUUUUCUUUGCAUUAGAAUUUGUUCAUUUCAAGAAAUUUUUUUCCUCAGAAGCAAACUAGAAACCCUAGGUUUACUUAGAGUAGUUAUUUCUCAGUUAAAUCACCUGAAAUGGUAGUCUAGUUUGAAAUGAAAUGAGACCAAGGAUUUACUUACCUGCUUUCAUUCUCUGGCUGAUUUUUAAUAAGAAAAACAAAAUUGUUAAUGUUUGUUUAAUGUUUUUAGUCCAGGAACAUUGAAUUAGUUAAUUUCUCUUAAUUGAUUGGUCAUUUAUUUUUUUUUUAUCUGUCUAUAUACAGACAAGUGAAAAGCAGGGUUCAUGCCAGCAAAGACCACAGAUGCUUAGUUUGAGAGAUACCACAGAGCUGUUCUUCCAAUAAUAGUGGUGCCUCUGAUUGCUUCUGAUGACUAGUUUUUACUCGGAAAAGCAGUGUUUAGCAUGUUUGUUUGAAGAACUUAAUCCAUUCAGGGGUGUGGAAGAAUGGCUUUAAGAGCUGAUGGCCUCAUAGUUAUUUAUUUACAAUAAAGUGCUGAGAACCAUUGAUGCAAAACAUGCCCUUGAGUGGCUCAGUGGGUAAAGACAGUUUUCUCCAAACUUGGCAACCUGAGUUUGAUCCCCAGGACCCACAUGGAAUGGAAAGUAGGAGAGAACCAAUUCCUGAAAAUUGCCCUCUGACCUUUUCAGGUACACACUCCACACCCAUAAAUGCUGAAUGUAAAACCCCCAAGAUUGCCCUUAAGAAGCAUUUCUUCACCACCCCCUUCUCUGUUUUUGUUUUUUUUUUUUUGUUAUUUUUUUUGUUUUUUUUUUGUUUUUUCGAGACAGGGUUUGUCUGUAUAGCUCUGGCUGUCCUGGAACUCACUCUGUAGACCAGGCUGGCCUUGAACUUAGAAAUCCGCCUGCCUCUGCCUUCCGAGUGCUGGGAUUAAAGGCAUUCGCCACCACCGUCCGGCCCCUUCUCUGUUUUAUUUAUUUAUUAUAUGUAAGUACACUGUAGCUGUCUUCAGACACUCCAGAAGAGGGUGUCAGAUCUCAUUACAGAUGGUUAUGAACCACCAUGUGGUUGCUGGGAUUUGAACUCAGGACCUCCAGAAGAACAGUCAGUGCUCUUACCCUCUGAGCCAUCUCACCAGCCCCCCUUCUCUGUUUUUGAGACAAGAUCUUGGUAUAUAGCUCAGACAAACCCUCAACCCACAAUCCUUCUGUUUCAGUAUCCCAAGUGCUUGCAUUAUGGUAUGUGCUUCAAGGCUUGAUUGUCUAAGGAACAUUUUUUUACUGAGAUAGGUGAUUUAGGCGUUUUGAUUUAUAGGGGGUUACCAGGUUGACAUCAUGAUUUAAGAAAUUGUACUCUAGUAGAGGCAGGAUUGCAAGUAGUGAGAUCCUGCUUUAAAAGCCAAAAUGUACCACUCGAAAGAUCCUUACAUUUUCUCUUAAGGAUGGAGACAAUGUCUUUCUGUUUUUAUCCUUUCUGCAAUUCUGUUUCUUAGUGACAAGGGACAUGUUCUGAGAAAUGUUAGAUGACUUUGUCACUGGGAAUAAUCAAUGUGCUUAUGUAAACAUUGAUGGCUGUGAUGUUACUGGUGAUAGAAUCUGAUGGGACCAACAUUGGGUAUAUGAGAAAUGUUAAAUGGCAAGUGACUUACUGUGCACAAAGUGUUGUAGGGAUUUUUACAUAUUCAGUAAAGUAGUACAUAAAAAAGGCAUUUUGUAUUUCAUCUUAAUUUUUGUUUUGUUUUUCGAAAUAGGGUUUCUCUGUGUAGUCCUAGCUGUCCUGGAACUCACUCUGUAGGCCAGGCUGGCCUUAAACUGAACUCACAAAGAUUCACCUGCCUCUGCUUCCUGAGUGCUGGGAUUAAAGGCUUGAGCCACCAUUGCCUGGCAGCUCAUUUUAAGAAUGUUAAUAUUGCUAAAAAUAGUAUGUAUCAAGUUACCUUUCUCCUAGUAUGAUGAGAUAAAUAAAUUGUAGUUCCUAGAAUAUUGAGUUAGUCAUUCAUACCAUUGAACUUUCCUACUAGAACACUUAAGGUAUGGCCGUUUAGCUAUCCUUCCCAAGCCUGUCAUCAGUGGUAGUUGAAAAGUAGCCAAUAUGGCAUGGUACUGAGUGUUGUAAUCCCAGCACUCAGGAAGGGAGACAGGCAGGAAGUUUGCAGUAGAUUUGAGGUCAGCCUGUUGUAUACAUAGUGAGUUGAAUGCCAGUAGGGAUGCCAGAUUUAAGACCAUGUCUGAAAAGAAAAAAGGGUAGAUAGCCUGUUCUUUUAUGUAAGCACUAAAUGAAGCAAAAUGUACUACUAACCAAUCUUUUUUCCUCUGUGGAACAGUAGAGCCUGUAGUCUUUCUCUUUUCCACAGUUUAACUCUUCAAGUAUUUAAAAAUAAUUAUUUUAAUGGACAGUUUGAGUGCUGUGUAUGUAAGGAAUUGUCAAAUGGCAGUUAAAAGUCAAGUUUGUUCCCAACGGCAGGUGUAGCUAAAGAGCCAUGGAUUUACCAGAAAGUAAUGGUUUUGCUUCUACUGAUGAAGAAAACUUCAUAUAUGAGAUAUGGGCAUUUUAGACUGAAAGACUAAUCAGAAACUUAAGAGAUGAGGCAUAAUGGGGAGAGAGGAAAAGAAGCUUCCCAAACUAUAUAACAGGAUAUUAAAAUGUUUAUUGUUGUUUCUUUAGUAUUUGAAGCUUGGCAAGUAAUUGUGGGAAAUCAAUACUUUGUCACUUUCACAAUGUAGUUAAGAUGAUUGAACAGGCUGGGCAGUGGUGGCGCACUCAGGAGGCAGAGGCAGGCGGAUUUCUGAGUUGGAUGCCAGCCUGGUCUACAAAGUGAGUUCUAGGACAGCCAGGGCUACACAGAGAAACCCUGUCUCAAAAGACCAAAAAACAACAACAACAACAACAACAAAACACCC
rnacentral:lncRNA from 1 species